rnacentral:rRNA from 1 species
CUUAUCGUGGUGGGAGACAGUGUCAGGCGGGCAGUUUGACUGGGGCGGGCGCCUCCUAAAAGGGAAAGGAGGCGGUCAAAGGGUCCCUCAGAAAGGGUGGGAAUCAUUCCUAGAGUGGAAAGGCAUAAGGGAGCUUGGAUGGGGGACCUACCAGGCGAGAAGGGGUGAAAGACGGGCUUCGGGCUACGGCGGGUUCGCCUGGAAGGGCCAUCGGUCAACGGAUAAAAGAUCCCCC